UACGUAGGUGACAAGCGUUGUCCGGAUUUACUGGGCGUAAAGAGCGCGCAGGCGGUCGUUCAAGUCGAGUGUGAAAGCCCCCGGCUCAACUGGGGAGGGUCACUCGAUACUGAUCGACUCGAAGGCAGGAGAGGGAAGUGGAAUUCCUGGUGUAGCGGUGAAAUGCGUAGAUAUCAGGAGGAACACCUGCGGUGUAGACGGCUUACUGGACCAUCACUGACGCUGAGGCACGAAAGCGUGGGUAGCAAACAGG
rnacentral:rRNA from 1 species